UUAGGGGAGACAAGACUUUAUGUAUACCUGUAUAUCUGAAAAACCAAAGUGAUGCCAGCCAAGUAAUGGAGAGGAUAAGGACUUAGAGUGGUUAAGCUAGACCUGCAUGAAAAGAAGAAGACACAUUCAUGAAAACUUUAAAAGAUGAGUACCUUUCUAGGAGAGGGAGCAUUGCUUCAAACCACCUUCCCCUCUCACACCCCACCCCAUCCCAGUGUUUCUGUAAAUGAAUCUAUUUCUCCAUAUUGGAAAAAAGCAUUCUAUAAUUGUUUAUAAAUGUGAAAGCAGUUCUUUCCACAAUGAAAAGAUCAGGAGAGUGCAUUUAAGUAGAUGAGUUCCUUAAAACAAGUUUUUUUUAAAAAAGGAAAGUAGAGUUUAUCUAUCUUGGGAGCAGAUACUUCGUUGAUACAAAGUAGAUCCUGUUACACAUUCACAUUGGUCCCUUAAACAUGUGAGACAGUCUUGGAAAUUAUAGAGGAAUUUUAAAAUGCCAUUAAAACCUUGUUCAUUACUUCCAAAAGGAUUUCUUUUUUUCUUUUUUCUUUUUUCUUUAGUUCUGAUGUAAGAGACUAUUAACACCGAGAGUCCUGGAAUAAUGCCUUUGUAUUUACAAAUGUGUAUUUGGGGCCCUGGUUUACUCACGCUUCUGCCUUUCCGUGUUUCAGGUCAGCAGGUGCACCUGCAGGCUCUGCUGCCACUGGCAGUAAUCGAAGACUUCAGCAGACACAGAAUCAAGUCGAUGAGGUGGUGGACAUAAUGAGAGUUAACGUGGAUAAAGUGUUAGAAAGAGACCAGAAGCUCUCCGAAUUGGACGACCGUGCCGAUGCCCUGCAGGCAGGAGCUUCCCAAUUUGAAACAAGUGCUGCCAAAUUGAAGAGAAAAUAUUGGUGGAAGAAUUGCAAGAUGUGGGCAAUAGGGGUUACCGUUCUGGUUAUCAUCAUCAUCAUCAUCAUUGUGUGGAUUGUCCCUUCUUGAAGAACCAGUGAAACUCCAGCCUACUGUUCAAGAAAUCUCUUCAAGACUUUUAACUUAGAACCUGCUAUAUUAUCAAGCUUACUUACUGUUAUAUCUAAAGUGAUUGUUUUUUGUUAGUUAACGUAAAGUUCAAUUUCUAGAUGUGCCUUUGUUUUUUAAUAUGCACUCCAAAUUAGGAGUAUGGCCAGCCCCGCUGCGUUUUGCACAGUGCCUUUUCAUAUUUACAUACGGGCUGAUGAAGAGGACUUCUUAAGUUCUGGAGUGCUGUAAUCUAGAUGUACUGUCAUUAAUUCUUUGCCAUUGCUCCCAGGUAAGGGAAUUUGUUCCAAGGUAGUUAUCCUUGUCAGAUGGCAUUAUCUUGAGAACCACAUUUGAAACCUUUAGGUAAUCAGAUUUCCACCUGUGCCUUCCAGAAAGAACACUAUUGCCUAGCACUGCUCUGUGACAGUAACAGGCUGUGCCUUAUUUUGGUAUGUUUCUAAUUCCUUGUAAGAGAACCCCCUACUUUUUGUAAGCACUACUGACUUGCUGUAUUUUAAAUAAGAUGCUGGGAAAGAGUUUUUGUUCUUACAUGAGGUAUGAAGAUGUUUACUUAAUUGUUAUUGUUAUGUGUCACUUGCUAAAAAUAUGGUUUUAAUCAGAAAUAAUAACCCCUUUAAAAAAGUUUUUAUGGAACUAUGGCUAUGACCAAAGUUUCUAUUUUGCCAAAAAGUUAAAUACUGAUAAAAUGUCCUUAAAUCUGUUCCUGACAGAUAGUUCAGAAAAGUGCCAAAUGGAACUCAAGGUGCUCUUCAAAAUUAAAAUUGUAACAUGGUGUGUGAACCCUCUCCAUCUUGACCAGCCUUUCUUGCCUUUGAAAUGCUGUCUGUGGUGUGACUCCCCAUCCAAUUCAGCACUUUUUUUUAACACGGGCUUGAGAAGAUCUGAACUAGACUGUCUCAUACCUGUAGAAACAAGGUUUCACCCAGAAGUUUGCAGAUGAUCAGCUGUGGACUCCAGCUGAUACAAUUAUGUGAGCAACAAUUUUGUAGCCUUCAAGCAAGACCAUCUAUGAACUUGAUCAUCAUCUGGCCCAGAUAGAAAGAUAAAUUAGUUUCUUGGAGUUUGUUUCCUAUUUUUAUUCAUAUUCUAUUUCCUAAAUCAGUUUUCUAAAUUAUGUUUGCAAUAGGAAUUGAUGAGGGGCGAAUACCUCUUUUCACAGAAAAUAGCUAACCAGAAACAUUUGCUUUCUUCAACUGUACAAGAUGCUGCUUUGGAAACAGCUGGUGUCUCCUGAGACACUUUUAUUGUGUACAUGAGACGCUUAGCUUAGGGUAUGUGGCUUAAAGACAGGGGUUCAGUUAUGGAUAAAAACAGGCAAGCAGGCAUUGAGGGAGAAACAGACUUCAUCGCUCUGUGGCCCAUUGUUACUAAAAUGUUGUUCGCAAGUUCUUGUUCACAGCUGUUAGGAUUUACAAAGCAACAGCAUCUGAGGAUGCGCCAGGACAUGGGUUCCAUUUCUUUAACUUUUGUUCCCUUAAUAUCACUGAAAUGAUUUAAUGUUGAAGAUGUGUCUUGCAGUGUGGCCAGCUGUGAGGAGAAAGCAGCUGUCAGUGUGGGGACAGGAGCCUGCCCUCAGCUCAGGGUCUCUGGCCCCCUCUGACUCUGAAACCUUGGUGCUCUCUCCUUGACCUCAGUGCUCAGUCCCCUGUAACCCACUGGCUCCUGCAUUAAUCCAGGGAUACCUCGCUUGUAUCUGCAUUCAACUGGGAACUCGCCCACUACAAUGACCUGAAUAAAGUGUUUGUAAACAUGA